rnacentral:rRNA from 1 species
CAGUAGCCGCGGUAAUACGAAGGGGGCUAGCGUUGUUCGGAAUUACUGGGCGUAAAGGGCGCGUAGGCGGCCAUUCAAGUUAGAUGUGAAAGCCCUGGGCUCAACCUAGGAAUUGCAUUUGAUACUGUUUGGCUUGAGUUCGGGAGAGGUGAGUGGAAUUCCCAGUGUAGAGGUGAAAUUCGUAGAUAUUGGGAAGAACACCAGUGGCGAAGGCGGCUCACUGGACCGACACUGACGCUGAGGCGCGAAAGCGUGGGGAGCAAACAGGAUUAGAUACCCGGGUAGUCCCUGUCUCUUAUAA